UAAUUCUAGCUGAGGGUGCAUACAUCUAUAACUAUAACUACUAUAAUCACAUAUUGUAUAUAUAAUAUAAUAUCAUAUAAUAUAUAAUACAUAUAAUGUCAUUCGGUUUACAAUGACUACAGUGUAUAAAGAUAUUUAUUUGUGGAGUACUACAAUUUAGAUUGCUAAGCACAGUGCUUAGAAUAACAUUGUUCUCCCUUACAGAACAUGCAUACUGUCUAAGAGUUUCCAUUGUUUACAACAAAACAACUAGAGCAGCAAAACUGGUGUUAUUGGAUAACCAUCUAUUUGGUGUUAGCUGUUGAUCUCGAGCACCACCCUUUAAAAAAAAAAAAAAAACAAGAUGUUGAAUAGGACAUUGUUGUUCUACGGCCACAUACUGAACUGCCAGCAAACAGGUUUUUUCAUGUUUGUCCUUGAGCAACCUAAUGACUAGAAUACUACUCUGUGCAGGGCCAUGGUCUGUUUGGUGUUACAGUGUCUUGAUCCAGGUAGUGUGUGUGUAUUUGUGUAUCUGGAAGGAUAACCUGAUUUCAGUAGUGUCUCACUGGCUCCACAUAGGAAAUCCAGAUCCUUAUUCGAAAGGGCGGUAAGCAAAGGAUUCCCCCAAAAUGUAGCCGUCCAAAACAAAAGUAAUGAAAGCAGGAUCUCAGGUUGAAACCCUCCAGAGUCUCUCUCCCCUGUGCCAGUGCUCCAGGUUUCCC